UACGAAGGGGGCUAGCGUUGCUCGGAAUUACUGGGCGUAAAGCGCACGUAGGCGGCUUUCUAAGUCGGGGGGUGAAAUCCCGGAGCUCAACUCCGGAACUGCCUUUGAAACUGCAGUGCUAGAAUCCUGGAGAGGCGAGUGGAAUUCCGAGUGUAGAGGUGAAAUUCGUAGAUAUUCGGAAGAACACCAGUGGCGAAGGCGACUCGCUGGACAGGUAUUGACGCUGAGGUGCGAAAGCGUGGGGAGCAAACAGG
rnacentral:rRNA from 1 species